rnacentral:rRNA from 1 species
UCUUCCACAAUGGACGCAAGUCUGAUGGAGCAACGCCGCGUGAGUGAAGAAGGUUUUCGGAUCGUAAAGCUCUGUUAUUGGUGAAGAAAGAUAGAGGUAGUAACUGGCCUUUAUUUGACGGUAAUCAACCAGAAAGUCACGGCUAACUACGUGCCAGCAGCCGCGGUAAUACGUAGGUGGCAAGCGUUGUCCGGAUUUAUUGGGCGUAAAGCGAGUGCAGGCGGUUCAAUAAGUCUAAUGUGAAAGCCUUCGGCUUAACCGGAGAAUUGCAUCGGAAACUGUUGAACUUGAGUGCAGAAGAGGAGAGUGGAACUCCAUGUGUAGCGGUGGAAUGCGUAGAUAUAUGGAAGAACACCAGUGGCGAAGGCGGCUCUCUGGUCUGUAACUUACGCUGAGGCUCGAAAGCAUGGGUAGCGAACAGG